rnacentral:rRNA from 1 species
CAGAGGGUGCGAGCGUUGUUCGGAAUUACUGGGCGUAAAGCGCGCGCAGGCGGUCCUUUAAGUCUACCCGUGAAACUGCCGGAGCUCAACUCCGCGCACGCCGGGGGAUACUGGGGGACUGGAGACAUGUAGAGGCGAGCGGAAUUCCGGGUGUAGCGGUGGAAUGCGUAGAUAUCCGGAAGAACACCUGAGGCGAAGGCGGCUUGCUGGGCAUGAUCUGACGCUGAGGCGCGAAAGCGUGGGGAGCAAACAGGAUUAGAUACCCUGGUAGUCCACGCCGUAAACGAUGGGCACUAGACGCGGGUGGGAUCGACCCCUUCCGUGUCGCAGCUAACGCGAUAAGUGCCCCGCCUGGGGAGUACGGCCGCAAGGCUG